rnacentral:rRNA from 3 species
CGACCGAACGUCUGGACCGAGUCAUGCUCGUGUGAUGUGCAGACGCUUUCGGAUCGUAAAACUCUGUGUGCAGAGAAGAACAUGGAUCGGAGGAACGUUCAUUCCUGACGGUAUUUUAACAGAAAGCACGGCUACUUCGUGCCAGCAGCCGCGUAUACGUAGGGGGCAAGCGUUGUCCGGAUUUAUUGGGCCGUAAGCGAGCGCAGGGGGUUUCUUAAGUUUGAUGUGAAAGCCCCGCUCACCCGGGGAGGGGUCAUUGGAAACUGGGAGACUUGAGUGCAGAAGAGGAGAGGGGAAUUCCAUGGGUAGCGGUGAAAUGCGUAGAUAUAGGGAGGAACACCAGUGGCGAAGGCGGCUCUCUGGUCUGUAACUGACGCUGAGGCUCGAAAGCGUGGGGAGCAAACAGGAUUAGAUACCCUGGUAGUCCACGCCGUAAACGAUGAGUGCUAAGUGUUGGAGGGUUUCCGCCCUUCAGUGCUGCAGCUAACGCAUUAAGCACUCCGCCUGGGGAGUACGACCGCAAGGUUGAAACUCAAAGGAAUUGACGGGGGCCCGCACAAGCGGUGGAGCAUGUGGUUUAAUUCGAAGCAACGCGAAGAACCUUACCAGGUCUUGACAUCCUUUGACCACUCUAGAGAUAGAGCUUCCCCUUCGGGGGCAAAGUGACAGGUGGUGCAUGGUUGUCGUCAGCUCGUGUCGUGAGAUGUUGGGUUAAGUCCCGCAACGAGCGCAACCCUUAUUGUUAGUUGCCAUCAUUCAGUUGGGCACUCUAGCAAGACUGCCGGUGACAAACCGGAGGAAGGUGGGGAUGACGUCAAAUCAUCAUGCCCCUUAUGACCUGGGCUACACACGUGCUACAAUGGGAAGUACAACGAGUCGCGAAGUCGCGAGGCUAAGCUAAUCUCUUAAAGCUUCUCUCAGUUCGGAUUGCAGGCUGCAACUCGCCUGCAUGAAGCCGGAAUCGCUAGUAAUCGCGGAUCAGCACGCCGCGGUGAAUACGUUCCCGGGCCUUGUACACACCGCCCGUCACACCACGAGAGUUUGUAACACCCGAAGUCGGUGAGGUAACCUUUGGAGCCAGCCGCCUAACU